GAAGAUAUUUUGGGAUGGAGGGGGGAGGAGAAAUGGUGUGAGGUGGGAGGGAGAAAUCCUCCACAGGAAAGGUAUCAUAAAGAACCACCAAAAUACACGUUUAAAAAGGGGGGGGGGCAUAAAGAGGUUUUAAAGAGGCAAAUUUCAUUCCUAGACCUAGAAUCCAUGGCUUUCUCUAAGGUUAAAUAGGUAUGUUUUUGUUUGUUUGAAGUCCGUAUUACUAGACGAUUGUGCUUCGGAAGUUGCAGGCUCACAUUCUACCCUCUAGAAAGCAGAGAUUUUUCACAUGGCUCAGAAUCCUCUUGGAUACACGGGAGAGACUGGAACAAAUUCUGCGGCAAUGUCCAACCAGUUGGGUUGCAGAUUUGUGGGCCGAUGUGCUGAGUUUGAGUGACACUGAUUCCUUGCCCUCUUAGACGUGUGGGCUCCAACGUCAGGUAGGCGGGUAUCCCCAAGAGGACCCAAGGGCUGGGCGUGCCCUGAGGAAGAAGGGCAGGUAGGUCACUGUUUGGAGGAGCGAAAGCAAACGAGAAGCCACACACUAUUUUCCUAGAUCCCGUGUUGGCCCCUCCAACCAGCAUCGUCUCGGGGGAGGGGGAAAGAGAAGCAGUAGGACACACAGCUCAAACGAAGACGCUGAGGACGCGUUUCCACGUCUAUCUACAUUCACAUCAUCAUCAUCAUCAUCAUCAUCAUCAUCAUCAUCAUCCAGUGUUCUCACCUACAGAGGGAGUACAACAUUCUACCACACGGCCCCAGCGAGCAGGCCGGACCGCACCUAAGCCCCCUCCGGGCACCAUGGCAGAAGGAAGACGGGACCAUGGUGCCCAAAGGACAUUUACACCACCCCACCCCCUCAACCGUGGACCACGAGGCAACAUGACUCUUCCGACAUCAGAAGUAAAAGACAACGUCAGUGAAAUUGGUCUCUAGGUCCCCUGAAGCUAUUAUUAACCAUCAUGCACGAAGGUGGCACCUGUAAAAAAGAAAAUUUCAUAAAUCUGAAAUCCUCUGAAAAAAAAAAAAUCCCAGCAACAGAAGUCAGUACUUCACCUUAAAUAUUUAAGUUUUCUCUUUCUCUAAAAUGGCCUCCAGAAAGCUCAAUGAUUUUUGUUUUAAGGGUUCCUUUUUAAUUAGAAAACUUGAUUCAGAUGGAAGAUAUAAAAAAAUCUGAGAAGGGGAGGU